rnacentral:lncRNA from 1 species
AGUGAUUUUAUAGAUAAUAUGAUACUUUGCACAGAACUCUUUGAAUUUGAUGUUGUUGAAUUAUCGGCCAUUAUCGAUGAUGAUUGCCUAGGAUAGAUCGAAUCGACAGAUGAUGGAUUUUCACAAAAAGCUGGUAGUCUUCUGUUCUGUUAUGUAUGCCAAUGAAUCGGCUUCGAUCUACUUAGUAAAGUAGUCGAUGGCCA